GAGAGGAGGGAGGCGAGGCGCAGAUCUCGUGCCGCCGCGGCCUCGCGGGAGAGAGGGCGGGGCCGGGCGCGGACGCAGCCGGCCCUUGUCAGGUGACCCUGCUUUGGGAAUUUCUUAGUUUGAGGAAUUCCUCUGGGCUCUGCCACCCAGCAAGUUAAAGAAGACAAGAUUCCUCCCAGGGGGUUGUGGUUCUGGGAAUGUGAACAGCUUGUUUUCAUGAGAUCUGUACCCUGAUCUGGCUUACUGUUAGGAGCUGCAGUAGUGAAGUUGGUUGUGUUUUGUUAGUUGUUUUUUUCUAGCAUACAUACAUAUUUUUGUAAGUUACUUGCAUAUAAAGGUUGUUGAAAAGCAAAAGUUUUAUGCAGAUGUUUAGUUACUCGAAGAAAAAUGAAAACUAUAUGAAGUAAUUAUUCAUAUGUUAUAGUUUUCUAAAAGAAGCAAAAGUAUUAAUUGAUGCUGUUGUCUGGGAAGAAAAUGAAGACCAGAAAAUGACCAUGCUCUUAGGGUUUGAAAAUAAAGUAAUAUUGUUCUCUGUUUGAAGGGAGCCUUCUAAGGAGUUACCACGGUCUCAUACACCAUCAACUUAAAUGCAUUCUUUAUCUUUAAAAGGAAGCAGAAUAGAAUCAUUGAGUAAAUCACAUGUGUUCACAGUCUUGUCUGGUGUAAUCGUAUACUACACAAACACAUUAUUCUGUUGUCAGGAGGGUAAGGGGACCUCUGAAGCAGGACUUGCCCUUGAGGAGACCUUUUUCUGUUUAAAGAAUAGUGCAGUGAAAGACCACACAGUAAAAGAUAACAGGAAAGAUCUCCCAGGCCUUCCCCCACCUUUGUACUUUCUCAUUCUCCUUUGUUCUCUAAGGACAUCUGUUGUAAUGAUUAUUCUGGUUAACUCAUAGGUACAUAGCAGAAGGCGUAUCAUAUUUCAUUUAUUAUUUUGUCUACUAUAAUUAUUGCUCUCUUAUAUCAUACCACUGUGGGCUUGUAAAAUAUUUUGUUUUUGAAAGUAUGUUAAAGAAAUGUAUUAAUUAAAAAAAAAAGAAAUAUGUUAAUUGGCUAUAGAUAUCUAAAGAGUAAAUGUUUUAACUCUGAAUUUAAUAAAAUUAUGUCUUAGGAAGACUAAUAGUCUUCUAUUAAGCUACAUCCUGAAGAGUUAAAUAUACAAAAAAGAUAUUUGAAAAUAUAAUUUUUCCUAUUUAUGUUAAUUACAGUGGACUUUUAGAUACUUUAAAAUAAAGUGAAAAUAUAUAAAGAUGGUCACUGUUGAGAUGUUUUAUUUGAAAAGUUGAUUAGAGUAUGUAUUUUGCUUAAGCUUCUGAAAGUUCUAUUUGGUAGUUAAAUCAUAUAUCAGAGUGACAAUUAAAGCAAAGUAAAAUCGAAAAUGGAAUAAUCUUUUCAGAAAUGUACAAAAGAUCCUUCAUUUACACCCAACUUUGAAAGGAGACCUGCCUCAAUUCAGUUCUGUUUUAUGUUGUAUAAUGAUUUUUUUUAAUGUCAUACUUGGGUAUUUGAAAGACACUCUUAAUUAAGAACAGCAAUGAUGUAAGAUUUCGGAAUAUCUAAAAUGGAUGCAUUAUUUCAAAUGUUUUCAACAUUUUGAUAGUUGACUUGCUGUGUACAUUGUUGCAAUUCAGAAUUCAAGUUUUUGCCUUUUGUUAGAACUUCUUUCAUUGCCACUCAAUUUUGUCCUAGGUUGAUCCCUUGGAGACUUUUUUUUUUUUAAUUCUCUGCAUUUUCCCCCAGAAACCUUUUAUUUAAGGAAUACAAACUUAAUAAUUUCAUAAUUACAACUUUAGGAACAUGGUACCAUUUCUUCCCACCGUACCUGCCCUCCCACCCCACCUCCUUCUCCCCUUGAGGAUUUUUCAAAUUUAUGUUUGAAGAGUUUUUUUAACCUCUUUGUUAUACAAAAAAAUUAAACUUUUUAUAUAAAAGUAAAGCUCAUAGUAUGGUGAACCCCCAACUUAAGUUUGUACUUUUAGUUACAUAUUAGCACAGGUAUUAUUAUUAUGCAACAAGUGUUCAAGAACUUAAGAAAUAUUUGUACUGAGUGCACAUUUGAAAGAAGUUAUGUAAAUCAAACUUUUAAAAAUAUCCAGCCAUUUCUGAACCUAUUACAGGUUGUAUUUCAACUUUUGGACCUACAAACAUUUCUCAUAGAAACAAUCUAAAAAUGGCUCCAGAGGAACUUCAAAAAGCUCAUACAAAAUACAUUGAAAUAAUGCAGGGGCAUGUGUUGCAGCACAGCAGGUUAAGUCACCACAUGGGAUGUCCACAUCCUAUAUCAGAGUGCAGUUCAAGUGCAGACUACUCUGCUUCCCGUCCAACUUUCUGCUUGUGCACUUGGGAAGGCAGUAGAUGAUAACCCAAUUAUUUGGGUCCCUGCCACCCACAUGGAAGACCCAGAGGAGUAUGGGGCUCCUGGCUUCUGCCUGGCCUAGCCCUGGAUGUUGUAGGUAUUUGGGGAAUGAACCAGCAGAUGGAAAACCUCUCUCUUUCUUUCUCACUCUGCCUUUCAAAUAAAUAAAUCUUUUAAAAUAAAAUGCACAUUUCCAUUGACUUUUAAAUAAGUAUUUAACAGGCAGAAAGACAGCUCCCACCCACUGGUUCACUAUCCCAAUGCCUACCACUGCAGUGCUGGGCUGGAACCAAAACCAGGAGCUGGAACACAGUCCAGGUCUCCCACAUGAACAGCAGGAACCCAGUUACUUGAGCCAUCACAGUUGCCUUCCCGGGUCUGUAUUAGGAGGAUGCUGGAACCAAGAUCUCCAGUUAGGGGUGAGGUCCUCACACUCCUAUCUGGAAUGUGAAUAUAUUAACACUAGGCUAAGUGCUGGCUCCUCCAGGAACUUUUUAAGCCCCUCAUACUGGCUUUUUAGACCAACUCUCAGUAACUUGCUUAUUAAUUCAUCACAGUUAAGGGUCACCUACCCACCAUGAUAUAUAUCCUUUUAACGAGAAGAUGCUUCCUUUGCUAUUGGACUUCUAGGGAGCACUGCUACUCAUCUUUUUGUACUGAGAAUGGCAGGUUGUGAAUGUGGGAGUCAAGCUCUUCUAUAACAGGGAUCACGUCUGUCGUGGGUCCUUAAUUCUCUCAGCAAAAGUAGCAGGAAUCCAGUGGAGACAAUAGUGGGGUGGGGGAUGUACUCAGUAUACACCACUCUGAAAUUAUGUACCACUUCCUCUACUGGCCUCAAAGAACAGAAAGGAAAACUUCCUUUAUGAAAUAAACUACUCUAUGAUGUUCUAAAGUUCACAUUUUACAGACUUUUUUAAAGUGUUCUUCUGAUUCUUCUGUUUUUUAAUAUUUAUUUAUUUAUUUGAAAGGCAGAGUUACAGAGAGAGUAACUCUCCAUUGCUUCCAAAAUGGCCACAAUGGGCUGAGGCUGGGCCAAGCUGAAGCCAGGAACCCAGAACUCCACCCAGGUCUCCCACAGGGUGACAGGGACCCAAGUACUUGGGCCAUCUUUCACUGCUUUUCCAGGCACAUUAACAGGGAGCUGGAUCAAAAGUAGAGCAGCUAGGACUCAAACCAGCAGUCGGAAGGUGGCAUCAGAGGCUGUGGCUUAACCCCAUUGCACUAUAUCUCCAACCCUCUGACUAUUUUCUUCUUUGACAUAGGGGAACAAUCAUUGUCGCUAACUAAGACAUGCCUAACACAACAACAACAAAAAAAGUUUCCUGACUGUUAAAACAUAAAAUUGGAACAUAAAGAUAGUAAACUGUCAAGAAGCUAAAACCAGGUUGUUGUAAUAAUGCUUAUAAGGAACCUGUAAGUACUGUGACCUUAUAGAGUGUCUGGGAGGGACAGAUGGAAGCAGAAGGAUGAGCUUCACUGCUUUUGUCAUGCCAACAUACUCUCUCUCUUUCUCCAAAUAGAACUUAGGGACAGGCAUUUGGUCUAGUGGUUAAGACUCCAGUUAAGAUGCCCAGAUCACACAUCAGAGUACCUGAGUCUGAUACUCUGCUUUGACUCCUGAUUGCAUUUCCUGCUAAUGUAAGCCCUGGGAGACAAAGGUGAUGAUGACUCAAGUGGUUGAGCUCCUGCCACCCACUUGGGAGACCUGGCUCCCACUUGCCCCUGCCACUGGUUGGGGGCAAAUGAAUUAGGGAAUGGGAGCUGUCUCCCUCUCUCUCAAAUAAACAAAUAAAAUCAAACAUAAGUUCCAAAUCCUUCUUUGAGCAAGACUUUUACUAAGAACUGAGUCAUAAAUUACUCUUCAUCUACAUACAUAUAAAAUCAGAAGUGUAAUACAAUAAGUUCUUCAAGGAUUCAGCAAAGAGACAAAAUCCAUAACAGGAAGAUAACUAAAAAGAAGGCCAGCUCAGAACUAAAGAUCUUAAAUAUUACCAUGUGACCCUUAGCCAGUGACUUCAAACUUCCCAGAAAUGAAUAGUAGAAAUAAAUCAUCUCAUUGUGGCACAGCAGUUGCACCACUGGCAUCCCAUAUUGGAGCGCCAGUUCAGAUCCCUCUACUCCACUUCUGAUUCAACUUCCUGCUAAUGUGCCUGGGAAGGCAGUGGAUGAUGGCCCAAGUACUUGAACCCCUGUCACCCAUGUGGAAGACUAAUAUGAAAUUCCUGGCUUCUAGCUUCAGCCUGGCCCAGUCCUGGCUAUUGCAGGUAUUUGGAGAGUGAACCAGCAGAUGGAAGAUCUCGCCUCUCUCUCUCCUCUCCCCUCCCUCCUCCCUCUCCCUCUGCCUUUCAAAUAAAUAAAUCUUUUUUUUUUUUUUUUAAAGGGCCACUAAGCUCACUAGGCUAGUCCUCCACCUUGUGGCGCCGGCACACCAGGUUCUAGUCCCGGUCAGGGCGCCAGAUUCUGUCUCGGUUGCCCCUCUUCCAGGCCAGCUCCCUGCUGUGGCCAGGGA